AACGAACGCUGGCGGCAUGCCUAACACAUGCAAGUCGAACGAGACCUUCGGGUCUAGUGGCGCACGGGUGCGUAACGCGUGGGGAUCUGCCCUUUGCUUCGGAAUAACAGUUAGAAAUGACUGCUAAUACCGGAUGAUGACUUCGGUCCAAAGAUUUAUCGGCAAAGGAUGAACCCGCGUAGGAUUAGCUAGUUGGUGGGGUAAAGGCCUACCAAGGCGACGAUCCUUAGCUGGUCUGAGAGGAUGAUCAGCCACACUGGGACUGAGACACGGCCCAGACUCCUACGGGAGGCAGCAGUGGGGAAUAUUGGACAAUGGGCGAAAGCCUGAUCCAGCAAUGCCGCGUGAGUGAUGAAGGCCUUAGGUUGUAAAGCUCUUUACCGGGAUGAUAAUGACAGUACCGGGAGAAUAAGCUCCGGCUAACUCCGUGCCAGCAGCCGCGU
rnacentral:rRNA from 1 species